CACGUAGGGGGCGAGCGUUGUCCGGAUUUAUUGGGCGUAAAGGGCUCGUAGGCGGCUCAGUAAGUCGGGUGUGAAACCUCCAGGCUCAACCUGGAGACGCCACUCGAUACUGCUGUGGCUAGAGUCCGGUAGGGGAGCAUGGAAUUCCUGGUGUAGCGGUGAAAUGCGCAGAUAUCAGGAGGAACACCAGUGGCGAAGGCGGUGCUCUGGGCCGGAACUGAUGCUGAUGAGCGAAAGCGUGGGGAGCAAACAGG
rnacentral:rRNA from 1 species